GACAGAGGAUGCAAGCGUUAUCCGGAAUGAUUGGGCGUAAAGCGUCUGUAGGUGGCUUUUAAGUCCGCCGUCAAAUCCCAGGGCUCAACCCUGGGCGUGCAGUGGAUACGGGCAGGCUGGAGGCAGGCAGGGGAGAACGGAAUUCCCGGUGUAGCGGUGAAAUGCGCAGAUAUCGGGAGGAACACCGGUGGCGAAGGCGGUUCUCUGGGCAUUACCUGACGCUGAGGAGCGAAAGCAGUGGGGAGCGAACAGGG
rnacentral:rRNA from 1 species